CUUUUUCGGAGAGUUUGAUCCUGGCUCAGGACGAACGCUGGCGGCGUGCCUAAUACAUGCAAGUCGAGCGGACAGAAGGGAGCUUGCUCCCGGAUGUUAGCGGCGGACGGGUGAGUAACACGUGGGUAACCUGCCUGUAAGACUGGGAUAACUCCGGGAAACCGGAGCUAAUACCGGAUAGUUCCUUGAACCGCAUGGUUCAAGGAUGAAAGACGGUUUCGGCUGUCACUUACAGAUGGACCCGCGGCGCAUUAGCUAGUUGGUGAGGUAACGGCUCACCAAGGCGACGAUGCGU
rnacentral:rRNA from 1 species